rnacentral:rRNA from 1 species
ACGGGUGAGUAACGCGUGGGAACAUACCUUUUGGUUCGGAACAACACAGGGAAACUUGUGCUAAUACCGGAUAAGCCCUUAGGGGGAAAGAUUUAUCGCCGAAAGAUUGGCCCGCGUCUGAUUAGCUAGUUGGUGAGGUAACGGCUCACCAAGGCGACGAUCAGUAGCUGGUCUGAGAGGAUGAUCAGCCACAUUGGGACUGAGACACGGCCCAAACUCCUACGGGAGGCAGCAGUGGGGAAUAUUGGACAAUGGGCGCAAGCCUGAUCCAGCCAUGCCGCGUGAGUGAUGAAGGCCCUAGGGUUGUAAAGCUCUUUUGUGCGGGAAGAUAAUGACGGUACCGCAAGAAUAAGCCCCGGCUAACUUCGUGCCAGCAGCCGCGGUAAUACGAAGGGGGCUAGCGUUGCUCGGAAUCACUGGGCGUAAAGGGUGCGUAGGCGGGUUCUUAAGUCAGAGGUGAAAUCCUGGAGCUCAACUCCAGAACUGCCUUUGAUACUGAGAGUCUUGAGUUCGGGAGAGGUGAGUGGAACUGCGAGUGUAGAGGUGAAAUUCGUAGA